UUGGCUGAAAUGUGAACUUCAGGAGUGGCUUCAGUUUUGAGUUGGUAGGGUGUCCGGGAGCCAUAGACCAAGUUCCUCUAGUCUCUGUCAGACCGGUGAUUUAGGACCCCAUGAACAAAAAGGUGAGAUAAUUAAAAGAAUUUCAAGAAACAUCCUUUGUAAGUCCUGACUUUGAAAUAUUUUGUAAUCCUAAGAAGUUUGGACUUCAUCCCGAGGGCAAAGAAAUGACAUAAUCAGCUGCAAUGAGAAGAAUGGCAUGAAGUUGGGCAACACUGGAGCCAGUGACACAAAUUAGGUAAGUAGGUGAGAGAGAAUAAUGACCUAAACUAAAGGCAGUGGGAAUGGAAAGAAGUAGAUGAUUUGAGAGAAAUUUGGAGUAAAAUAAAUAGAACUCAGUGAUUGCCUAGAUAUGGGGGACUGGUGAAUGAAUGGCAGUAGUCAAGGUUGAUAGGUUUCUGAUUUGGGCAAUAGAAUAGAUAGUGGUGCUUAUACAAAGAUUGAGAAUGUAAAAGGGAGAGCAAGUGUCAAAAAGUUCCCAAGCAGCAGUCAGCUUGUAUGUCAGUUCUUGAUACUUCCGUAGAUUCAGCCGAUAAGGAAACAAUGAGCCCAGAUGGAUUUAAGUAGUUUGUAACUCACGACAAAGUACACAGCACGAUCUUCAUGUUUGUAUCAGAUCCUUGUGUCCCAUGGAAGUGAUGCAGAGUGAGGCCCAGGUAGAUGCUGUGGAUACAGUGAAUUGGUGUCCUCCCAGUCUUAUAAAGGAAACCCUGGUGGCAUAGUGGUUAAGUGCUACAGCUGCUAACCAAAGGGUCGGCAUUUUUAAUCUGCCAGGUGCUCCUUGGAAACUCUAUGGGGUAGUUCUUCUCUGUCCUGUAGGGUUGCUAUGAGUCGGAAUCGACUUGACAGCAAUGGGUUAGUCUUAUA